GAUGAAUGCUGGCGGCGCGCUUAACACAUGCAAGUCGAACGAUGAACUGGGUGCUUGCACCUGGGGAUUAGUGGCGAACGGGUGAGUAACACGUGAGUAACCUGCCCUGGACUCUGGGAUAACCCCGAGAAAUCGGAGCUAAUACCGGAUAGGACCCUGUACCGCAUGGUGUGGGGUGGAAAGUUUUUCGGUCUGGGAUGGACUCGCGGCCUAUCAGCUUGUUGGUGAGGUAAUGGCUCACCAAGGCGUCGACGGGUAGCCGGCCUGAGAGGGUGACCGGCCACACUGGGACUGAGACACGGCCCAGACUCCUACGGGAGGCAGCAGUGGGGAAUAUUGCACAAUGGGCGCAAGCCUGAUGCAGCAACGCCGCGUGCGGGAUGACGGCCUUCGGGUUGUAAACCGCUUUUAGUAAGGAAGAAGGGGAGCUUGCUCCUUGACGGUACUUGCAGAAAAAGGACCGGCUAACUACGUGCCAGCCGCCGCAGUAA
rnacentral:rRNA from 1 species